AUAAUAGAGCUUACAACAACCUGGAGACCUCUGCCCUCUAAUUCCCAUACUUGUUCUCCAUGUUAACUUUCCUUAUUAUUUUGCUACAUCGAAGCUCCGAUUAAUUUGAUUAUGAGCGUAUCACGCCAUUGUCAUAAACCUUUUGCGAUUUUCACAUUUCUUCUCCUGAUUUCUUCAUUACUACAAUUUAUUUCAGCUUUACCCUUAAUUAACCCAACUAAACAGCAGCAAAAACUCAGUGGACCGGGUUCAUCGCCCCCAACGUGUAGAUUCAAGUGCGGACGUUGUUCGCCAUGUAAACCGGUUGGGGUCUCGGUUCACCCCGGUUUUACUUUUACUUUAGAGUACUACCCUCAAGCUUGGAGGUGCAAGUGUGGCAACAAACUCUUCAUGCCUUAGACAAGUUAUACAUAUAAUUGGAGUAAAUUUAAUUAGAUUUUUAUUGUGAAAAUUUUUUUUUUGUAAAUUUCUAGAUUUGUUUCCUCUGUUUUUGUAAGAAAAAUACACUUCUCUUCGUAAUUUAUACAAUUUUACUGGUGAAAAUUUGAUUCUCCGUCUCAUAA